rnacentral:rRNA from 1 species
CAGAAGUGCGAAUGCUGACAUAAGUAACGAUAAAGCGGGUGAAAAGCCCGCUCGCCGGAAGACCAAGGGUUCCUGUCCAACGUUAAUCGGGGCAGGGUGAGUCGACCCCUAAGGCGAGGCCGAAAGGCGUAGUCGAUGGGAAACAGGUUAAUAUUCCUGUACUUGGUGUUACUGCGAAGGGGGGACGGAGAAGGCUAUGUUGGCCGGGCGACGGUUGUCCCGGUUUAAGCGUGUAGGCUGGUUUUCCAGGCAAAUCCGGAAAAUCAAGGCUGAGGCGUGAUGACGAGGCACUACGGUGCUGAAGCAACAAAUGCCCUGCUUCCAGGAAAAGCCUCUAAGCAUCAGGUAACAUCAAAUCGUACCCCAAACCGACACAGGUGGUCAGGUAGAGAAUACCAAGGCGCUUGAGAGAACUCGGGUGAAGGAACUAGGCAAAAUGGUGCCGUAACUUCGGGAGAAGGCACGCUGAUAUGUAGGUGAAGUCCCUUGCGGAUGGAGCUGAAAUCAGUCGAAGAUACCAGCUGGCUGCAACUGUUUAUUAAAAACACAGCACUGUGCAAACACGAAAGUGGACGUAUACGGUGUGACGCCUGCCCGGUGCCGGAAGGUUAAUUGAUGGGGUCAGCGCAAGCGAAGCUCUUGAUCGAAGCCCCGGUAAACGGCGGCCGUAACUAUAACGGUCCUAAGGUAGCGAAAUUCCUUGUCGGGUAAGUUCCGACCUGCACGAAUGGCGUAAUGAUGGCCAGGCUGUCUCCACCCGAGACUCAGUGAAAUUGAACUCGCUGUGAAGAUGCAGUGUACCCGCGGCAAGACGGAAAGACCCCGUGAACCUUUACUAUAGCUUGACACUGAACAUUGAGCCUUGAUGUGUAGGAUAGGUGGGAGGCUUAGAAGUGUGGACGCCAGUCUGCAUGGAGCCGACCUUGAAAUACCACCCUUUAAUGUUUGAUGUUCUAACGUUGACCCGUAAUCCGGGUUGCGGACAGUGUCUGGUGGGUAGUUUGACUGGGGCGGUCUCCUCCUAAAGAGUAACGGAGGAGCACGAAGGUUGGCUAAUCCUGGUCGGACAUCAGGAGGUUAGUGCAAUGGCAUAAGCCAGCUUGACUGCGAGCGUGACGGCGCGAGCAGGUGCGAAAGCAGGUCAUAGUGAUCCGGUGGUUCUGAAUGGAAGGGCCAUCGCUCAACGGAUAAAAGGUACUCCGGGGAUAACAGGCUGAUACCGCCCAAGAGUUCAUAUCGACGGCGGUGUUUGGCACCUCGAUGUCGGCUCAUCACAUCCUGGGGCUGAAGUAGGUCCCAAGGGUAUGGCUGUUCGCCAUUUAAAGUGGUACGCGAGCUGGGUUUAGAACGUCGUGAGACAGUUCGGUCCCUAUCUGCCGUGGGCGCUGGAGAACUGAGGGGGGCUGCUCCUAGUACGAGAGGACCGGAGUGGACGCAUCACUGGUGUUCGGGUUGUCAUGCCAAUGGCACUGCCCGGUAGCUAAAUGCGGAAGAGAUAAGUGCUGAAAGCAUCUAAGCACGAAACUUGCCCCGAGAUGAGUUCUCCCUGACUCCUUGAGAGUCCUGAAGGAACGUUGAAGACGACGACGUUGAUAGGCCGGGUGUGUAAGCGCAGCGAUGCGUUGAGCUAACCGGUACUAAUGAACCGUGAGG